rnacentral:lncRNA from 1 species
GUACUUUUUUCCCUCUCGUUUUUUUUUUAACCUCUAUUUUGUUUUACGUAGAAAACUGUAGUGACCGUAGCCGUUGAAGCGUGGUGUCACUACUCGACCCCCAAAAAGUAAAUUCUCGCGACUGAUGAGCAAAAUCUCGCGUCACGUUCAGUAUAUAUCGAGAGAAUGCAAGUACUACACGGUGAGAGUGACAUAGAAGUGAGAAUACCUCCCUCCAGGCGAACGAUCCUCCCGCUACAGCGUUCGAGAGGGAAAUACCCAACUUUGCCCGGACUACACACUGCGAGAUGUGCAGCGUCGAGUGACAAGUAGCGCCUCGCUAUAGGAAAGUGUCGAGAUAUCCGUAACUCGCGAUUGCGAGGUCGACAUGGCACACGGUUACGCUUUUAGCGUGCAAAAAUACCGUGAGAAUUAUCGUUUCUAAAUACAUAUAAUUAAGAUUCACAAUGAAAUAUACUGGAUGAAAAUGAUAUAGAGCUGCAAUGAUAUUGGUGAAACAGUAAAGGUCAACUUUUACUAAUUAUUGUUUGGGCAGAGGGGACUUAAUACUACAGGAAUACGAAUUUAUUAAAUAACUUCCAUUAAUACGUAUAGCUUCUUAACUCUAAAAUAACCAGCUUCUAUAGCGAAGAUAAAAUGCAAGCGACGACCUUGAAAACAGCGACAUAACAAGAUCUCGAUAGCCCUAUAAGUACUGUUGGUAAUUAAUAGCGACAAUGAUAAAAGCGAUAGUGGUCGCAUGCAACUGGCCAUUGCCUGUUUCAGUAAUUAAGUUUCAACAUCGAUGAGGUUAUCAUGAUAUUCCGGCUAGGCUAUUAGUCUACAAGGGGACCUGAAGGUGGAAUGAGACUCCCUUUCGAACUACGCUUUUUUAAAAUAAGGAAAUAUAACAAAAAUAAAUUAUGAUUAAUAAGUUAGUCAAUUCAAGCUGGAAUGACAUUGUACCUAUAUAUAUGAAUGUAUCGAAAAGUAUACUUUAAACGAGUCUUUGCACUUUGCAUUACUGAAUGAAUAAAGCAUAAAUCUUUGUUUUAUCUAAA